rnacentral:rRNA from 1 species
UCAGACACGUCAGAGUUUGAUCCUGGCUCAGGACGAACGCUGGCGGCGUGCCUAACACAUGCAAGUCGAGCGAUGAAGCUUCCUUCGGGAAGUGGAUUAGCGGCGGACGGGUGAGUAACACGUGGGUAACCUGCCUCAAAGAGUGGGAUAGCCUCCCGAAAGGGAGAUUAAUACCGCAUAACAUUAUUUUACGGCAUCGUAGAAUAAUCAAAGGAGCAAUCCGCUUUGAGAUGGACCCGCGGCGCAUUAGCUAGUUGGUGAGGUAACGGCUCACCAAGGCAACGAUGCGUAGCCGACCUGAGAGGGUGAUCGGCCACAUUGGAACUGAGACACGGUCCAG